CCUUCUAAAUUUAUAUUAUAUUUAUUAUUUGUUUUGUGCUUUUUUUAACUCGAGAAUUUGUUUAAUUUUAUGUAUGUGAUUUUAAUUAUCCUUCUCACCUCUACUUCAUUUGAGAUUGGCCAUGUUGGUCCUAUAUUAACUUUCCAGUUAACUUGGAGUUUUACAUACCUCAGUAGUCCUCAUAUUACUUUCACAAUUGUGUCCAACCUUCUUUUUGGAAUUCAUCUUUGCUAUUCUAUCCACACUAAUUCGUAAAACUAAUCUUAAAGCCUCAAUCCCAUCUCGUCUUAUACAACAUCACUAGACUCACCAACGGUCCGUAAAAUUUAAUUUAAAACUUGACCGAAAUCCUCUAUCACACAAUACCCCUGGUGCCAAUUUCAUCAAAUUACAUUAAUUCUUUAUUUCAUAUCCUUCUAAAGUCCACCCAUUUUCUAGUAAAAGUAAUUCUUAUUCAAAACUACAUACUUUUCAACCAAUUAUCUAAUCUAAAAUAUGUUUAUCUAUUUUUAUCGAUUUCAGAUAAUUUACCGAGUCCUUUCCGACGUAAGACAUUUCGGCGUAAAAUAUGAUUUUUACAUUUUACGCUUUAUUAACAACUGUUGUUUGUUUUAACCUAGAAAAUAAAUAAUACCAACGGUAUCACAAGACGAAAACAAAGUUAAUUUUAGACAUUUCGGAAACAUUUUCAACUUAACUAACUUUUGAACAUAUUAAAGCAAUCUAACUUGAC